AUCUGAUUUAAAGUUUGCUUUUUCUGGGAAGUAUUAAUUCACGUGUUAUAUGGGCAGUACUGUAACACCAGACCCUCUUUGGGGUCACUUUACACAGCUUAUGUAAACACCUCAGGAUAGAGUUUCCUUUUCCUUUUAGCGUUUUGUUUGCUGACUGCUAUUCUUCUUUUCAACAGCAGAGGGAAGCAAAGCCCCGUCUAAAUAGCGUAUCUGAGUGCCAGGCUAGAAGAUCCCUUGAGAGACCAGGGAAAAUAGGAACAGAAUGAAUCUGCCAGGGUGUGUGAUGUGCCAAAUGUUUGGGGAACCCCUCAGACUCCCAGGGCCAUCACGGCUCAGUGAGCUAGUGACAGUGAGGACUGGAAUCCAGACCCCCGGCUCCCAGUUGCCAGCUCUGGGCAGCCGGAGACUCCACAGAGCCUGACAGCACAUGGGUCCUCGGGGACGUUUCACAGAGGUUUCAGUUGGUCGCCUCUCUUGGCACUGGUUACACCGAGUCAACAACAGUGCUCGUGGAAGAGCUGCUUGUUGCCUUCAGAGCCAUCCCAUUAAAUCCUCCACACACGCUUUUCCUCUAGUGGACAUGGAUCAGGACAAAGGUGAGUGAGAAGAUGGUAAAGGAAUGCUGGAACGGCCAUAGGGAGGAGAGCUGAUUGCAUUCUGCAUCCUGCAUUCUGAACACUGGCCAAAAGGUGAGCAAGAAAUAAAUUUCUGUUAUUUAGGUCUGACUUGCCUUAACACUGUCUGUGAAUAAUAACCUCUCAAUUAGAAUUUUCAGUGACUUGUCUUCCUCAAUGACUAUAAAUCAAAACUGUACCAGAGACUAACAUCAUUCAUGACUUUUUUUCCACAGAAAUAUUCUGGAGAAGGACAUGCCUUCCUAAAUUUAUGGAAGAUUCUCCCUGUAAAGAAUCAAUUUCCAAAUUAAGGAGCAAUGAGGAACAAAUAUUUGUUGCUUAAUGUUUGGGGG
rnacentral:lncRNA from 1 species